UACAGAGGGUGCAAGCGUUAAUCGGAAUUACUGGGCGUAAAGCGCGCGUAGGUGGUUCGUUAAGUUGGAUGUGAAAUCCCCGGGCUCAACCUGGGAACUGCAUCCAAACUGGCGAGCUAGAGUAUGGUAGAGGGUGGUGGAAUUUCCUGUGGUAGCGGUGAAAUGCGUAGAUAUCUGGAGGAACACCGGGUGGCGAAGGCGGCAUCCUGGACCAACACUGACGCUGAGGAGCGAAAGCCAGGGGAGCAAACGGG
rnacentral:rRNA from 1 species